rnacentral:lncRNA from 1 species
CUUAUUUAAAAAAAAUUCAAAAUUCAAAAUUAUAUUUGUAUCAUUUCAUUUAUUGUUAAGUAUACUUUAUGCAUAUAUAUAGCUUUACAUAUUUUAAAAAUUGAAUAAGACGAAUGGUCAAACAUGUAUCGGUGUCAAACAUUUAGAGAUGGAUAGAGUAUUUGUAUGGAAACUGAGAACAACUAAUUACAUAAAUGUUAAAUAGCACUAACUCUUUGCAUUGCUCUCGACCUUGAAAGCCUUAUCAGUGUGUAUCUUGGGGGUGUUGGCUUCACAAAUUUGAUGCAGCAAAGAGCCAGGUUCUUCCACUUUACUUCCCAGUAUCACUCAUGAUAUCUUCAGAUUUCGAAAUGAGGCAUGCAUCUCAUAUAUGAGUUAAUAACAGUUCCGAAACUCCGGUGGCAAAGGGAGGGAAACAAUGAUUAUUAUACAGGAAUGAUUCUUAAUUUGAAAAGACAAAAUAUAAACACGAUUCAUUUGUGUGCAAGUUAAGUAUUACCAACGUCCAAAGAAGAAGCAAGCCCAACUAGAUUCUGUAUCGGUGGCAACAGAUGGCAUAAGGAUGCAUGGGGGAAAGUUUGGCUAAGUUGGUCAAGUCCAUUAAGAGUUGGGGAAGAGAAGAUUGAGUCAUAGGAAUAUUAUGGUUAGAG